UCAAACUAAAUCCAAUAUGGCCAAUAAUGAACAAAAUGAAAAUUUGUUUCUUCCUAUCCUCCUAUUCUCCUAUCCUCCGUAUUCUCUCUCUUUUUUUCUGUCUAUCUUGUUCAUCCUAGCACAAAAUCACCCCAUAAACAAAAUCUUUCACAACCACCGUCACCAUAACCUCCGACGCCGCCAUCUCUAUCUCCUCGUUCUGUACCUCCAUCCGUCGCUGCCACCAUCAUCUUCAUCUCCACCUCCUCGUUCUCUACAUCUGCCAAUAAACUCUGUCUCAACCACUCCUUUUAUCUAUCCUCCUAUAAAAGCUUCUUCUUUUCCAGAUGCAUAUUCAUGGUUAUAGUUAACACCAACCGUAUCUCAGGGACGGGGAAGAGGAAGUCGUAGUGUCACAACAUUGAUGGGAAGAAGCCAGAUAUGAAGAAGCUGUGCUGGUGGAGAUGGAGCCGAACAAGAAGAAGAAAAAGAGAAAGAGGGAGAAGACAGACAUAAGGAAGACGAAGAAGAUGGAAGAGGACGACGGUAACGACAGAACACGCGAUGGGAGGAAGGCAGCGGCGUAGAUUAGGUUUAGUUUUGGUUGGUUUAUUAGGUUUGGUUUAAAUAGGGUUAGUUUAAUAAACCGGGUUUUUGUAUAAACCAAUGUUAAUAAAUAAACUAAUAUUAGUUGUAAACCAAUUCUUUGUAUAGUGAUUUUAAUUAAUAAAUAAAAUUUAAUUUUUAAUUUUUAA